AGAAUCAACGCUGGCGGCGUGCCUAACACAUGCAAGUCGAACGAGAAAGUGGGAGCAAUCCCACGAGUAAAGUGGCGCACGGGUGAGUAACACGUGACUAACCUACCCUUGAGUGGGGGAUAACCUAGGGAAACCUGGGCUAAUACCGCAUAAUACCUACGGGUCAAAGGAGCAAUUCGCUUUAGGAGGGGGUCGCGGCAGAUUAGUUAGUUGGCGGGGUAAUGGCCCACCAAGACAGUGAUCUGUAUCCGGCCUGAGAGGGCGCACGGACACACUGGAACUGAAACACGGUCCAGACUCCUACGGGAGGCAGCAGUGGGGAAUUUUGCGCAAUGGGGGAAACCCUGACGCAGCAACGCCGCGUGGAGGAUGAAGCCCCUUGGGGCGUAAACUCCUUUCGAUCGGGAAGAUAAUGACGGUACCGGAAGAAGAAGCCCGGCUAACUUCGCGCCAGCAGCCGC
rnacentral:rRNA from 1 species